UUUGGGAUGAUGCAUCAAUAUUCCUUAUGCCCUCUUUCUCUCAAAUUGUUUGAAAACUCUCUUGUUUCACAUUGGAUAUGGUUUUUGGAAGGAUAAUUUAUGGUAGUUCGUCUUGUUAAGAGAGUUGCUUCUUAAUUUGUUGGAGUGUUCUAUGGCAAGCGAUUAAUUGGGAUGACAUGAAGAAAAUGAAGUAUUCAUGACAACGAUGAACUAAAGUGAUGAGAUUCCAUACGAAGAACUUUGAGGUGCUGCCAUAGAGGGAGAGUUAGGAGUUUGCUUUUAUGUUUUAGU